GAUGAACGCUGGCGGCGUGCCUAAUACAUGCAAGUCGAGUGAACGGACGAGAAGCUUGCUUCUCUGAUGUUAGCGGCGGACGGGUGAGUAACACGUGGAUAACCUACCUAUAAGACUGGAUAACUUCGGGAAACCGGAGCUAAUACCGGAUGAUAUUUUGAACCGCAUGGUUCAAAAGUGAAAGACGGUCUUGCUGUCACUUAUAGAUGGAUCCGCGCUGCAUUAGCUAGUUGGUAAGGUAACGGCUUACCAAGGCAACGAUGCAUAGCCGACCUGAGAGGGUGAUCGGCCACACUGGAACUGAGACACGGUCCAGACUCCUACGGGAGGCAGCAGUAGGGAAUCUUCCGCAAUGGGCGAAAGCCUGACGGAGCAACGCCGCGUGAGUGAUGAAGGUCUUCGGAUCGUAAAACUCUGUUAUUAGGGAAGAACAUAUGUGUAAGUAACUGUGCACAUCUUGACGGUACCUAAUCAGAAAGCCACGGCUAACUACGUG
rnacentral:rRNA from 1 species